rnacentral:rRNA from 1 species
GAUGAACGCUGGCGGCGUGCCUAAUACAUGCAAGUCGGGCGGACUGACGAAACUCGUUCUUCACGGAUGUUAGCGACGGACGGGUGAGUAACACGUGGAUAACCUAUCUAUGAGACUUGGAUAACUGCGGGAAACCUGAGCUAAGCCCGGAUUAUCUUCUCAACCUCAUGUUUCAAAAGUAUAAUACUGUCUUACUGUUACUCAUACAUGGAUCCGCGCUGCAUUAGCUAGGUCGUAAGGUAACGGCGUACCAAGUCAACGGUGCAUAGCCGACCUGAGAGGGUGAUCGGGCCCACUGGAACGGAGCCACGGCCCAGACUCCUACGGGACGGAGCGGUAGGGAAUCUUACGUAAUGGGAGAAAGCCUGACGGAGCAAAGCCGCGCGAGUGAUGAAGAUCUUCGGAUAGUAAAACUAUGUUACUAGGGAAGAACAAAAGUGUAAGUAACUGUGAACAUCUUGACGGUACUUAAACAGAAAGCAACGGCUAACUACGUG